rnacentral:rRNA from 1 species
AGCAUAAUCAUUAGUCUUUUAAUUUGAGACUGGAAUGAAAGAGUAAACCGGGAGAAAUUUUUUUCAGUUGAGAAAAUGAAUUUUACUUUUUAGUAAGAAGGCUAAAAUUUAACUUUUAGACAAGAAGACCCUAUAAAACUUUAUAUUUUUAUUUCUUAGUUGAAAGAAGAAGUAUUUCGCUGGGGCGGUGGAGGAAAGCCCUUCCUUUAAAAAAAUAAACUUUCUUGUUUAAAUACCUAGAAAUUCUAAAUUAGAAAUAAGUUACUUUAGGGAUAACAGCUUAAUUUACUUAGAAAGAUCAAAUUGACAAGUAAGUUUAUGACCUCGAUGUUGAAUUAAAAGACCUUUUUUGUGCAAAAGCUAAAAA